UUACUCUGGUUUUCCUUCAAUGAACGUAUAUAUCUUUCGCCUUUUACUAAAGAUAUCCGUGGAGGAGAACAACAUUAUGAGUCUAAAGACUAAUUUUUUAAAUGCCCUGCCUUUCGGCGGGGCA
rnacentral:snRNA from 2 species